AGCCAAUAAUCAUAGUCAAGAACCAUAAAUAGGUCUUAAAUAGUAAUGAAAACAUGUUCAUAGAGUCUAACAGUACAAAGUAAAUUAAACCGAACUAACACGUUUACAAACUAAACUGGGAUCCCGUUCCUUAGCCUUGAAUCUUGAACUAAGUUUUUUUCCUACUUGAAAUCGUCCCUCCUGUAGCUUCUGUCACCUUUUUUUAGCCGUCGAAUCAAUAUCCCCUUUUGAAUCAUGCCCUCCUCUUUAAAUACAUGGUAUCACAGUUGAACUCUAAAUAAGUUUCACGGUCUGGGCUUUUUGUAGUGUUUCUAAAGCCAGCCUGGUGGGCCUAUUCUCAUAUUAUACAUAAUAACAUUUAGGGUAGCUUCUUGGCUACAGUAGCCAAAGAAGCCCCAGUAUUCAAAUUAAUUACAUAAUUGCCACAGUUCAGGUUUUACCAGCUUCCCGCUUCUUCCACCGAUAACCACCGACUUGCCCCAAAUCCACGUCAGGCGACAAAACAUUUCCACUGUAUUUCUACUCAGAAAAACAUGAAAAUCAACAACAGAGAGAGGAAGAAGACAACAACAGAGAGAGAGAGAGAGAGAGAGAGAGAAAGAAAGAGAGACGACGGUGGUUGCUGUUUCCGACGCCACCUCCUACCGGCAACGGAAUCAGCUGAUGGCGGCGAGUUUAGGUUUUCCGUUGGCCCUUUCUGAUUAUGGUUGAAGGAGUGAACCUUCGCUGGGUAUUUUUCUACUCCGCUCGUAGAAAGCAGCCAGCUGAAAUUGAUACAGCAUCAACUCAUCCAUGAUCCAUGCAAAAGGCUACGCCAACCGAUAUGCUUUCCAGAUUUAAUAAUUUUAAAAAGUUAAGUUUUCCGAAGGUAAAGUCCAGUGGACCAAAUUUGGGUAAUCUGUCUUAAAAACAUUCUGAGCUAAGUUGACUCCGGUGAAGAAUCCGGCUACCAAUAUGAUCCUGUUGUCAUAGAAGGAACUUUGGUCAACAGGUGGCUGCCGGCUUAGAUGAGGGUGCCGAUUAACAGUUCAGGUGAAGUAUGAUAUACUUCCAAUUGAAUAUAUUGAUAUUCAUUAAUUGAUAUUGUGAAUCUGUUUAUGGAUGAGGAACCUUCAAUGAUGAUGUUCGUGAUUGGAACUGCUCAGAUUCAGUAACGUCUUGAUGAUGGCAGAAUAUGGCAGUGAGGGAUCAAUAGGGGGCCAAAAUAACUGUGCGCAACAAAGGACCAUUUGCGCAUAUGAGCAAGAUACAGGUCCUGUUUGGGUGCGAUGAUCAUACUUGGUUAUCAAGGCAGAACUUGAGUCAAAAGGCGAGUCGACUCAAUCAAACAAAAAACAACAACAAUGUUGAUGCCACUCAUACCAUGUACUAUUUACUUUUUAUAAUUUCUUUCGCAUACCUUGCAACUCUUUAACGCGUAAGUUUUCUAACAUUUCGGUAUAUAAUUUGUUUUGACCAGUA